UGUCCGAUGCCACGUCGAAGGUAGCUCUUGGGCUAUGAUCCUAGCUCGACGCUAUAUUGGACAUAAACAAAUGUUCGUGUUUCGCUUACUGAUAGGAACCUGUGGAUCUUGUUUUACGAUCUACAGAGCCAUGGCGAUUACAUUU
rnacentral:snoRNA from 1 species